GUCCCUAUCCGGCGCGGGCGUAGGAUAUUUGAGAGGAGCUGACCUUAGUACGAGAGGACCGGGUUGGACGAACCGCUGGUGUAUCGGUUGUCAUACCAAUGGCAUGGCCGAGUAGCCAAGUUUGGAAGGGAUAAACGCUGAAGGCAUCUAAGCGUGAAGCCCCCCUCAAGAUGAGAUAUCCCAUAGCAUAAGCUAGUAAGACCCCUCGAAGACGACGAGGUAGAUAGGUUAGAGGUGGAAGUGCAGUAAUGCACGCAGCUGACUAAUACUAAUAGGUCGAGGGCUUGACCUA
rnacentral:rRNA from 1 species